ACUCCUACGGGAGGCAGCAGUGGGGAAUAUUGGACAAUGGGCGCAAGCCUGAUCCAGCAAUGCCGCGUGAGUGAUGAAGGCCUUAGGUUGUAAAGCUCUUUUACCCGGGGAUGAUAAUGACAGUACCGGGAGAAUAAGCCCCGGCUAACUCCGUGCCAGCAGCCGCGGUAAUACGGAGGGGCUAGCGUUGUUCGGAAUUACUGGGGCGUAAAGCGCACGUAGGCGGCUUUGUAAGUUAGAGGUGAAAGCCUGGAGCUCAACUCCAGAACUGCCUUUAAGACUGCAUCGCUUGAAUCCAGGAGAGGUGAGUGGAAUUCCGAGUGUAGAGGUGAAAUUCGUAGAUAUUCGGAAGAACACCAGUGGCGAAGGCGGCUCACUGGACUGGUAUUGACGCUGAGGUGCGAAAGCUGGGGAGCAAACAGGAUUAGAUACCCUGGUAGACAUCAC
rnacentral:rRNA from 1 species